GUAGCUCCGGCCAGCCUCUGAUGAACAGCCACAUUUACAUACAAUCCUAUGGAUGGUCUCGAAGGAGACAUUUUGCCUUACUUUUUAGAUGACAAUACAAAUUAUAUCAACAUGAGCACCGACACAAUGAAUGAUUUUCACGAGGCCGUUUGUGGAGUGCGCCCUCCCUAGUUUGUUUUAGCCAGUAGUAUCAACAGUCAACAUGGCGUUUACGCACGUGGGCAAGCAAAAACUGUUCAACUUUGUAAACUUCAGACAAUGUUUCUUACAAGAAUAAAAGAUUUCUCGUCAAAUGAGGCUGUCCAUCAAACCCGGAGUAUCAACCUACACCCCCAGGUUUGACUGAAGAGAGCCCGUGAGAUGCAGCAUCGUCAUGAAUUCAAAAACGCCAUCUCCUCACUGCCUAAAGCUACUUCAACUCAACUUGGCUACUUAUUCAAUAGUAGGAUAAGAUGGAUCGCAUUGCCCUGGACUGUUCAACUCACGGUGAAUAUGAAUUUAUCAAAUUCAAGGACUAGCAGUCUCACCAUUCAUCAGUUUUGAACUUCACCGCUUCAAGUUAUAAUGAACACUCAAGAUGAUGAAAAGCCUUGGUAUGAGAUGCGCCGGCUUGACUGACGAGAGCCCGUGAGAUGCUGCCUCAUCAUGAUUUCAAAUACGUCAUCUUCUCGGCGUCUCAAGCUAAUUCAGUUCAACUUUGUGAUUCAUUCAAUACUAAGAUGUAAAAGGUACGUCUCACGUAGUGAGUUUUAAUUAUUGUAAAAAGAUCUGUUUACAUGGACUCUUAUAAAACCACUCGGACAUCAGUCUUUACUGUUUACAACUUGAUGAACAAAGCUGAUAUUUAUUUAAAAAGCUAUUAAUUUAAUUCAAAGCAAAAGUGAACUUCGUAAACAGAUCUUUACCAUGUACAGCCCUAUGUGGCUGUUUUUGUUAUGAAGCGAAAACUUUGCUGAAUAUUGUUGUGUACAUUUUGUAGCUCCAUUGAAUCAUCAGGCCUGAUACUUUGCGGAGAUAAAGUACGCAGCAAUUGCCUCUAUGCACACGGCCUUGGUCAUUGCCUUGGUGCCCAUUGAAAUGUUCUGGUACUAAUUCAAAUGUCCCUCACACUCUGGCAUUUUACUGAGAAAAAGCUGCCUUGCCCUUACAAGAAUGAAGCAUCAGGCCUGAAGAAUGGGUAAUGAAAUGCAGAAAACAAAGGGCUACUAGCUACGACUAACAUUUUUUUACUGAAUACCAAAGCAGUGUAGUGAACAAUCAUGCAACAUAUAGGCUAACAUGUACAGUUUUAAAACAUAACUUUAUACAGAUGUCAGAGUUUGAAAUAUGUUUUAAAAACUUAGUUUGAUAUUUAUAUGUGGUAAAUGUGAUGUAUUUGUAUCACGCGUGAUUAUAUUUAUCUGCAAAACAUUGUACGAACCGAGCAGGGCCUUCGGUUUUAAUGGAGUUCAAAUAUAUGGAAACUUGGAGUGAACAUCUGCAUUUCCAUAAAAUUUUAUUCUUAGCAUUGAAAGUACACUACCGUAUCUUUUUACCAUUUUAUCUUGAAAACUAGAUUUCGCAAAUCCAUGAGAACCCUAAAAUAAAUAGUUAUUGUAUUUUUUUUAUGAUUUGCUGAUGUAUUUAACAUGGAAACUUGGCAAUGCAGAUGGCCCUUUUAAGCUUCCAUACAAUUUUUGCUCCAUCUUUUGAAGUCUGGCUCCAAGUAUCUUAGUGCUUAUACAACACUUAUUCUUAAUGUAGGUGCCAGACUAAUUUCUUCACACACUUGUUUUGAUUUCUACUAUAUGUAUACACUUAGCUGAUAAGUUAUCAAGGUUAUGUGUGUAAAUGCCCCUUUUAAACAACAGGUUUUAAUAUGCCAGCUUCGUAAUUCACAGUUAAGCUGAGCAUAGUUACUUUAUAAUACUUAAAAUAGGAAGUUGGAAGGUUAGAAGUCGCGAACGUGUGUUCUGUGCAUUUAAAGUGUUAUAAAAAGAAAGCACCUACAACUUAUGCUAAGUGCCAAUUUAGAGUAAUUGUAGGCAAUUAUUUAUUAAAACGACUCUUUCCUGUAAGUUUGUUUGUCACCAGAAUGCGUAGUUCAUGUAGAAUGUCAACAGAGAUACUCUGGAGUGUAUCACGCAGUUUUAAUUGUGUUUUAGAUGUUUUCGAUCUCAUUUUUUGUAAUUUUCAGUGAUUUUCAUGUUUUUUUUCCCCAAAA